GCCAGGUGCGGUGGUGCACACCUGUAAUCCCAGUGGCUCGGGAGGCUGAGGCAGGAGGAUCAGGAGUUCAAAGCCAGCCUCAG
rnacentral:sRNA from 1 species